GAAAUGCGAUAAGUAAUGUGAAUUGCAGAAUUCAGUGAAUCAUCGAAUCUUUGAACGCACCUUGCGCUCCUUGGUAUUCCGAGGAGCAUGCCUGUUUGAGUGUCAUGAAAUCUUCAACCUAUAAACCUUUGCGGGUUUGUAGGCUUGGACUUGGAGGCUUGUCGGCCUAACGGUCGGCUCCUCUUAAAUGCAUUAGCUUGAUUCCUUGCGGAUCGGCUCUCGGUGUGAUAAUUGUCUACGCCGCGACCGUGAAGCGUUUGGCGAGCUUCUAAUCGUCUCUUAUGAGACAACACAUUGACCUCUGACCUCAAAUCAGGUAGGACUACCCGCUGAACUUAA
rnacentral:misc_RNA from 1 species